UGGCGAUGCUCAGGGGCUAUUCCUGGCUCUGCACUCAAGAAUUACUCCUGGCGGUGCUCAGGGGACCAUCUGGGAUGCUGGGAAUCGAACCCGGGUUGGCUGUGUGCAAGGCAAACACCCUACCCGCUGUGCUAUCACUCCAGCUCCAUGUCUGGUCCUUUAUCUACUUUCAGCACACGUCUCCCAUCCCAAAUGAUCCCUCCAACCAUCACUGACUUAGUGAUCCCUUCUCCAUUCCAAGUUGCCUUCUCCCCCCACUCAUGAGGCAGGCUUCCAACUAUGGAGCAAAAUUCCUGGCCCUUGUGUCUAUUGUCCUUGGGUGUCAGUCUCAUGUUAUGUUAUUUUAUACUCCACAAAUGCGUACAGUCCUUCUAUGCCUGUCCCUCUCUUUCUGACUCAUUUCACUUAGCAUGAUACUCUCCAUGUCUAUCCACUUAUAAGCGAAUUUCAUGACUUCAUCUCUCCUACCAGCUGCAUACUCCAUUAUACAAUGGAAUGUUCCAUUGUAUAAGAUGUACCAAAGUUUCUUUAACCAGUCUUCUGUUCUCGGGCACUCGUGUUGUUUUCCAGAUUCUGGCUGUUAUGAACAUGCUGCAAUGAACAUAAAGGUAGCUGACCAGUUUUCCCAGCACCACUUGUUGAAGAGGCUUUCCUUGUUCCACUUCAUAGUUUUUGCUCCAUUAUCCAAGGUUAACUCAUCACCUGUGUACCUGAGCUGUCUCUGGAUAUUCAGCUCUAUUCCAUUGAUCUGAGGGUCUGCCUUUAUUCUAGUAUGAACUUCACAAAAAAAAAUUCAACCCUAUCAAAAAAAUGGGGAGAAGAGAUGAACAAACCUCCUCAGAGAAGAAAUACUCAUGACCAAAAGGCUCAUCAAUCAUCAGGAGACGCAAAUUAAACAACAAUAAGCUGUCAUCUCACACUUCAGAGACUGGUACACAUCAAAAAGAACAGGAACAACCAGUGCUGGUAUGGACGUGAGGAGAAAGGGACUCUCAUUCACUACCGGUGGGACUGUCCACUGGCCCAGCCUUUCUGGAAAACGAUAUGGACAUUAUUAGAACAUCUAGGAAUGAGCUUCCAAUUGACUCAACAGUCCCACUUCUUGAAAUAUACCCCAAGGAUCCAAAAACAAAAUGGAGAAAAGACAUUUGUACCCCUGUGUUCCUUGCAGCGCUAUCCAUAAUAGCCGAAAUCUGGAAACAGCCCAAAUGUUCAAGAAUAGAGGACUGGAUCAAGAAAUAGUACUCGGCCAUAAGGAGCGAUAAGGUCAUGCGAUUUGCUGCUACAUAAAGGGAACUAGCGAGCAUGAUGCUGAGUGAAGUUAGAGACUUAGAAUGAUCUCUCUCAUAUGUGGGGCAUGAGAAAAUGUAACGGUGGAAGAACAAAUGCCCAGAGACCGUGGAAACAACAUGCCUCCUGAAAGGACUGGGGGGUGGGACAGGAAAGAGGCAGUGACUAUGGUGGAAGGAGGGGGUGGGGCUGGAAGGUGUGAAGUGUCACAUAUGAAUCCCUAUUGGUAACAGUACUACAAGCUACAGUACAAAAAUGUAUGUAUUGUGAAAAAGUGCCUUUUGUGGAGGCAGAAUUGUGGACUGAGGGCAGUAGCCUGAGCCUUAGCAAGCAGUGCGUUCCUCACUACCACCAGAAUUUGACUGCAAAAUUCUGGGAGCCAAAAACAAAGAGAUUUUUCUCUUUGCAUACAUUUUUGUUCCAUCCAUCCCUCAGCUUGAGUCGGCUCAAACCAGGAGUUCUGGAGUGGAGGGCCCGCAAGAGAAACAGCCAUGGCUUUGAUAGAGUAUCUGCAAAGUGAGCACUUUCGGCCUGUGAUGGAACCAAAUUCAGUGCUGCAUUGGUCUUCCACUCCUUGCAUCUUACAACAACUGUUGUUUCCAGAUUCUGGUUAUUGUGAACAUGCUGCCAUGAACAUAAAGGAAGAGCCUCACCCAAGAGAGGAUGAGCUUCACCCAGGGCGGGAUGGAUCUCACCAGAGAAUGGACCAGCAGGAAAACCCGGGUAGACGGGAAACCGUGACUGAGAUCUCCAAGCCCGCCUGGAUCGGGACUGGGCCUCCUCCCCCCAGCUCCCCAGUUUUCCAGAAGCUUGGCAGUUAUGCCCAUCAACUGCCUUCAGCACCGUGUAAUCUCAUCAACGGCCAAGACCCAGAGACUAUAAACUAAAGCUCCUGGAAGAGAAUGACACAGAAUUUCCUGGACAUUAUAUUCUAUCCAUAACAAGCAAAAUAAAACAAAUCAUCUAGCAUUGCCUUUUCAGCAGGUUUGAGUAGUGGUGAGACUGGUGUUGAAAUAUCGAAUGUAACCAAAGUAGAGAGGGAAAUUGUCUGCCAUAGGCAGGGGAAGGAUUGGAACGGGUGGGGGUGGGGGAAUACUGGGAAUUUU